AGAUGAACACACUUCUGGAGACGAUGAUGUCGACGAAAGUAUGGAUGCAGAUGGUAUUGAUCUAGAAGAUGAUAAUGUAGAGCAAGAAGAAGAUGUUGACACUGAUAAUAUUCAGAGUGAUGUUGUGGAUGAGCCAAAUGAUGAUGAGAGAUUGGACUCUGGUUUUGUUGACGAGGUAUUAGUUGGCGAUAAUUCUUCUUACGACUAUUACGGUGAUUCAGACUUGGAGACUAUA